rfam:Salinivirga cyanobacteriivorans strain L21-Spi-D4 chromosome, complete genome.
AGCAUCGUGAGGUGCCGCAUAAAGGAAGUCAGACUGCAAAACCCUGUACUGAUGUAUAAGAAUCGCAUAAGGCGGGUGUCUGUAAGGAUAAGGUGGCACAGCCUGUCCUCGAUUUAUCGGGAUCAUACCAAAGUCCAAAUUUACCGAUUAACAGGCUACGUAGAUGCGGCAGGGAUAGGGUGAACCGACCGAA